rnacentral:rRNA from 1 species
UACGUAGGGUGCAAGCGUUGUCCGGAAUUAUUGGGCGUAAAGAGCUCGUAGGCGGUCUGUCGCGUCUGCUGUGAAAACUCAGGGCUUAACCCUGAGCUUGCAGUGGGUACGGGCAGACUAGAGUGUGGUAGGGGAGACUGGAAUUCCUGGUGUAGCGGUGAAAUGCGCAGAUAUCAGGAGGAACACCGGUGGGCGAAGGCGGGUCUCUGGGCCGAUACUGACGCUGGAGGAG